ensembl:lncRNA
GCACUCAUUCACGUACCGUCUAUAUAUGUAUAUUUUUAUACACACAUAGAUAGGCACAUGCACACUUGAGUUAUAACAGAUCUGUGGGAAAUACUGAACAAAAAAUAGAUGUUCAAAGCAUGUAUUUCUAAAUUGCUAUAUUAGCGUUAUACACAGAAGACAAUAGAAAAGUUAUACUAAAAAUAUAUCAAUAUGAAGACUGUGUCCUGGAUGCUGAUCAUGAAAUUCCAGUGAAUGUUCAUCCUGCGUUGCUGAAGUAGCGUACAGUUAAGAUACCAGUGAUUCUGACAGUAUUUGACUUGCACCAGGAAAAGAAACAAGCAAUGUCACAGACAGCUGAAGAGAUUUUUUUUAGAAAAUAUAUGGUUGCUGGAGGCCACAAUUCUGGUGAGAUGAUUAAUGGUUAGUGAGACCUGCAUCCCAUGGAGGAAGAGACAAAUCUCUCUCUGUGAGGCCAGCAGAAGGAAUGAGGCAAUUGAGGACCUGGAGGCUGCAGUUCAGAACAUCACUUCCUAGAACUGAAUCAUUGAGUCUGGAGGGAAGGAAAUGAAAGGCUUCCCUCUUUGCCAUAGUUUGGAAGAAAGAUUUGGAUUUCCCAUGCCAUCACUACCUUCUGUUUUUAAUAGCAAAAAGUGGCUCUUCAAAGAAAAGGAUUUGCCUUUUCUUUUUAAAAGAUGUAAAAGUCCUACAGUGUUGCUAACUCAUAGGCACCACAGACCUGUUUCCAAAAGAAGUUUCUAUGUGAGACACUGCUCUUCCAGACAGUAUAAGAGCUGGACUGUGUGGGAAGGAGACAUACAGUAAUUAUCAAUAAUUUAUGAAUGUGUAUGUUUGGCCCCAUAUGCAGAGUGUGCUCCUGCAACAUUUGAACUGCCAACUGAUGCUGAAUGGAAGCAACUUAUGUGGAGGAGAUAUGUAUAAUUUCCUGAAGGAAACAGAACAUCCAAAUAUUUGUCUUGGUUAAUAAGAGAAGACAGAGGAAUAAUGAAGAGGGUUUUCACAAAGUGAUAUGCUGGGAAGAUGAGAGUAAUGCAUUUUUUCUCUAUUUCCAAUCUGUAAAAAUCUGCAAUGCAUUUUGGACAACAGUUGUUUACCGUACCAUAGUGCGGUACUGAAUUUGGAAGAAUGCACAGAAGACUUUAAAAUUUCACAUGACACAGAUUCUUGCAACAACUAGAACUUGCAUUCCUGAGGAGUUAUCUGCCCCAUCAAUUAAAGACCCUUUGUGUAGGCUGAGCCAUUGGUGGCAUUUCUUCCCAGGAGAUUAUAUGAAAGAGGCAUUUUAUGUCUUUGCUGCAGACUUUCUGCCUCACUCUGCCUGAAGCAGGCAGAGAAUUGAAAAGGAUGUGCCCCAUACAUGUAAAAUAUAUACAAGGGCUGCUCCAAAAAUAAUGCCUCCCAUUUAUUAUGUUGGCCCACAAUGUCAGAGGUGGAUGUUGGUGGUAUGGAAGCAGAGAUUGAACCUUCUCACGAACAUUCUGUUACAUGUUGUUGUUUUGCGACAGAUGGCGGCAGAGGGGCAGUCUGACAAAAUGGCGUCUGAUAUGGAAGUGUGUAUGGAACAAAGGCACCUCACUGAAUUCCUCCGUGGAAAAAAUGGCACCCAUUGACAUCCAUUGAUGUUUGCUGAACGUUGAUGGAGACCAAAUAGUGGAUAUGAGCUCAGAGAGGCAGUGGGUGGGUGGUGAGUUUCAACACUGGUGACAGCAACAGUGGGUCACCUCCGCUGGCACAGAUUUUUACAAGCGCGACAUGCGUGCUCAUCUUCAUCUCGGGUGAAAAUGCAUAAAAUAGUGUUAUUGUCUUUUUGGUAUGUGUGGUAGUUUGCAUGUAAAUAAAUGGGAGGCAUUAUUUUCAGAGCAGCCUGAAACUUCAGGAAAUUUUAGUAACAAGUAAUUAUGAAAUAAAAGAAUGCUACUCACAUGAACAUGGUAGAGGUAAGAGAAAACUGGUAAUCACUGAGGAGGGAAAUAUAGAAUAUAAAAAUCUUUGGCAUUAUGUCUUUGGCUUGUUUGGCUACUUGGUAUUAGAGGUUUCAGCACAUUAGCUUUUAUAGAACAAAUACAUUCUGUGAAGGGAUCUGUUCCAUUAAAAGGCUCCUAUUAUGAACUGACCUGCUACAGUCAUACAGAUGCAGUCUUUCACAUUAUCCUGAACUGAAUAAAUAUCAAUCAUUUUCUUUACUUUGAAAAAUCACAGUUAUUCCUCUAUUUUAACAGUCCCCUUACUUUCCUGUACUGCAAGUCAUUUUUAGUUAUUCUGAUGAGUCAUAGCCAGCAUAUUAUUCUGCAGCAUUUCACUCCAUUUUCUUUUUUGCUAAAACUUUGCCUACAGUAACUUUGGCCCCGUUAGUCCUUGAUUUGUCCCAUCCAACACUCAAGCUUAUAACUGACAUAGGAAAUUAAUAACUUUAGGCUUCCUGAAUAUGUUAUAGGCACCUUGAAAAUGUAAAUUCAUGCUGCUGCACCCCAGUGCUGCAUAUUCCCAGUUCAGUGAGUACUGAAAAAAGCUUCAAGUGAUAGCUCAGAUAGAGGUACCUCAAGAGGGAUUAAUUCAGAUCCUGAUUUCUUUAAAUCAGUACUUUUAAAAAUAAACUAACUUUCAUACAGAUGCAUACAGAAAAUUUACCAGUGCAACUGGUAAAUACCAGGCAGAUUUGAGGUUCAUUAUCAUAGAAUCAUAGAAUCAUAGAAUGGUUGAAGAGGACCAUAAUGAUCAUCUAGUUUCAACCCCCCUUGCUAUGGGCAGGGUUGCCAACCACUAGACCAGGCUGCCCAGAGCCACAUCCAGCCUGGCAUUGAAUGCCUCCAGGGAUGGGGCAUCCACAACCUCCUUGGGCAACCUGUUCCAGUGCAUCACCACCCCCUGGGUGAAAAACUUCCUCCUAAAAUCUAACCUAAACCUCCCCUGUCUUUGUUUAAAACCAUUCCCCUUGUCCUAUAGCUAUCCACCCUCGUAAACAGCUGUUCCCCCUCCUGUUGAUAUGCUCCCUUCAAGUACUGGAAGUCCACAACGAGGUCCCCCCAGAGCCUUCUCUUCUCCAAGCUAAACACGCCCAGUUCCCUCAGCCUUUCUUGAGAGGUGCUCUAGCCCUCUGAUCAUCUUAGUGGCCCUCCUCUGUACCCACUCCAAUUGCUCCACAUCCUUCCUGUACUGGGGGCCCCAGGCCUGGACACAGUACUCCAGAUGGGGCCUCCCAAGAGCCGAGUAGAAGGGGACAAUCACCUCCCUCUCCCUGCUGGCUACACCUUUUUUAAUGCCCAGAACACAUUUGGCCUUCCGGGCUGCAAGCGCACUGCUGGCUCAUGUCCAGCUUCUCAUCCACCAGGACCCCCAAGUCCUUCUCCACAGGGCUGCUUCCAAGGGUUUCUUCACACAAUCUGUAUAAACACCUGCAGCACUCAACCCAAGUGCAGCACCGUGCACUUGGCCUUAUUGAACCUCAUUAGAUUUUCAUGGGCCCACUUCUCCAGCCUCUCCAGGUCCCCCUGGAUGGCUUCCCUUCCUUCCAACGUAUCGACUGCACCAUUCAGCUUGGUGUCAUCUGCAAACUUGCUGAGGGUGCACUCGAUGCCAUCCAUCGUCUGUGUCACUGAUGAAGAUGUUGAAGAGCACUGGUCCCAAGACCGACCCCUGAGGGACACCACUUGUGAGUGGCCUUCACCCUGACACAGAACCAUUGAUCACAGCUCUUUGGCUGUGUCCAGCCAGCCAGUUCCUAACCCAUCGAACAGUCCAUCUUUCAAAUCCUCACCUCUCCAAUUUAGAGAGAAUGUGGUAAGGGACUAUGUCUGGGAAGAUUACAUCUGUUGCCCUUCCCCUAUCCACCGAAGCCGUCAUUCCAUCAUAGAAGGCCACCAGAUUGGUCAGGCAGGAUCUGCCCUUGUUGAAGCCAUGCUGGCUGUCUCAGAUCACCUCCUUGUGUCGCAUGUGCCAUAACAUAGCUUCUAGGAGGAUCUGCUCCAUGGUCUUCCCAGGUCUCACAGAGGUGAGACUCACCAGCUUGUAGUUCCCUGGGUCUUCCUUUAAUGGCAUAAUGGCAUUGGUGACCUUUAAAUCUAUGCACCCACAGUUUAAGAUACAGGGCUGAGGGAAAGCAUCUACUAUUAGUCUGGCUAUAAAUCUUUUACUAAGUGAAAAGACUAUUACAUCUAUAUCAAUGUGCUCUACAGCCCUGUAGUGAAAAAUCAUGAAAAUGAGUAUAUUGCUGAAAUAUAUAAUAGUGGACUGUAAAAUGAAGCAAAGUUUUAAUGACCAGUUUGCAAUGUUCCAUGUAGUGUACAAUUCACAACAAGAUUGAUCACAGUUGCCUUUCUUGAGAUAAAUAUUUGUUCCAAAAGUUUGCUUUCCUUUUCUAUAUAAUUGUUUUGGGGUUUUUUGUUUGUUUGUUUGUUUGUUUUUGUUUUGUUUUGUUUUUUUUUCCUAUGGAAGAUAAUUUUCUGAUAACUAACAACUGAUGUUCAGUUUGUACCAGUGUUCUUUCUUUGCUACUCUGUAAACGAGCUCACAAUCUUACAGCUGCUGAGGUUGUUGCAAAAAGUCUUGGUUUCUUCAUCAAAGUAUUUUUUUUACAUAUAAAAUGGAUGGGAACAUUUUCUGAACCUUCAGUAUUUCCCUUGUCCCUUCUUUUGUUCUUGUUUGUUUGUUCUUAUUCAGUCUCAUCAUCUUCUGGCAUUGUUCUUGACUAAUUGUAACGGACUGAUUGCUAACAUGUGUUGUCAAUGGAUUGUUUGCUGGCAUAUCUGACAAUAUUACCAUCUACUUCAGCCGUUUAUAAAUUUUGGUGUUUUUAU